rnacentral:misc_RNA from 1 species
GAGAAAGGCAUAGGGUGACGUCGGUGGAGAUGUAUAGUCUUAGGGUGAGGCUGGUA